rnacentral:rRNA from 1 species
UACGUAGGGACCAAGCGUUGUUCGGAUUUACUGGGCGUAAAGAGCGCGCAGGCGGUCGUUCAAGUCGCGUGUGAAAGCCCCCGGCUCAACUGGGGAGGGUCACGCGAUACUGAUCGACUCGAAGGCAGGAGAGGGUAGUGGAAUUCCCGGUGUAGUGGUGAAAUGCGUAGAUAUCGGGAGGAACACCAGUGGCGAAGGCGACUACCUGGCCUGUUUCUUGACGCUGAGGCGCGAAAGCUAGGGGAGCAAACGGG